AGCCCACUUAACUCAUAAUCUAGCUGAGGCUUUAAAUAAAUCUUUCUCAAAAAGUAUUCCGAAUCUCCCCGAAGCCUGGCCACUCCCGGCUGGUCUCUGCCUCUGGACUUGCUCUCGCCUAAUCAACCUUCAGGCCGCGGUCAGAGAGACCCUGCGACAGCUCUCCAUGACCGCCCACCGCACAGCCCUGGUGGGCCCCCCCGGGAGCCCCGCUUCAGACCGGCUGCGCCACCUCCCUGCCUGGUUGGUGGUUUCACCGGCUGCCCAACAGCCAGAGCACGAGGGGCCUCCCAGGGCGUGGCCCCCUGUCCCCCACCCCUGCACCAGCAGAUUCUGCUUCCCUGUGUCUGAUCGCACCUGCCCACCCUUCGGGCUUGGCUAAGAAGAACGUUCCUCAAGUAGAUUUUCUUAGCCCGAGGACUCUCCUCCAGCAAUAUUAGUCCAAGACUCAGGCAGCCCAUUGUCUCACUUGGAACUGUCAGGAAUCAAGUGGUGACGGACGCUCUCCUUGUCCAGGCACGGUUUUUCCACCACGGAACCGAGACCCGGAGAAGUGAAUCCUUUUCCAACCUCCAGGCCGCUGUGGCCGUGGAUUACCGAACUUGGCAAAAGCCAGCUUCUUCUAAAGGUGGAGAGACUACGGUAACGACCCCCACGCACCUUUCAUCUGAUCUGAGCCGCUGGCAAUUCGUAGACCUCGCUCUGCCCAUUGAAACCCUCACUUCCCACCCCAGCGAACCCCAAAUGCCGUAU